AAACUAACAAGGAUUCCCCUAGUAACGGCGAGUGAAGAGGGAAGAGCCCAAGAUUGAAAGCUGGCGUCUUCGGCGUCCGCAUUGUAAUCUCAAGAAGUGUUUUCCGCUUCGGACCAUGCCUAAGUCCCUUGGAAAAGGGCAUCAUAGAGGGUGAUAAUCCCGUACAUGGCAUGGAGCGCCCGAAGCUUUGUGAUACGCUUUCUAAGAGUCGAGUUGUUUGGGAAUGCAGCUCAAAAUGGGUGGUAAAUGCCAUCUAAGGCUAAAUAUUGGGGAGAGACCGAUAGCGAACAAGUACAGUGAUGGAAAGAUGAAAAGAACUUUGAAAAGAGAGUUAAACAGUACGUGAAAUUGCCAAAAGGGAAGGGUAGGAGGUCAGAGAUGCGGCCUGGGAUUCAGCCUUGCUUUUGCUUGGUGUUUUUCCCAGAUUGCAGGCCAACGUCGGUUUUGGGCACUGGAGAAGGGUAGGAGGAACGUGGCACCUCUCGGGGUGUGUUAUAGCCUCCUACUGGAUACAGCGACCGAGACCGAGGACAGCAG
rnacentral:rRNA from 1 species